UGGGGAAUAUUGCACAAUGGGCGCAAGCCUGAUGCAGCCAUGCCGCGUGUAUGAAGAAGGCCUUCGGGUUGUAAAGUACUUUCAGCGGGGAGGAAGGGAGUAAAGUUAAUACCUUUGCUCAUUGACGUUACCCGCAGAAGAAGCACCGGCUAACUCCGCGCCAGCAGCCGCGGUAAUACGGAGGGUGCAAGCGUUAAUCGGAAUUACUGGGCGUAAAGCGCACGCAGGCGGUUGAUUGAGUCAGAUGUGAAAUCACCGGGCUAAACCCGGGAAUUGCAUCUGAUACUGGUCAGCUAGAGUCUUGUAGAGGGGGGUAGAAUUCCAUGUGUAGCGGUGAAAUGCGUAGAGAUGUGGAGGAAUACCGGUGGCGAAGGCGGCCCCCUGGACAAAGACUGACGCUCAGGUGCGAAAGAGUGGGGAGCAAACAGG
rnacentral:rRNA from 1 species